CACGUAGUUAGCCGGUGCUUCUUCUGCAGGUACCGUCACUCGCGCUUCUUCCCUGCUGAAAGAGGUUUACAACCCGAAGGCCGUCAUCCCUCACGCGGCGUCGCUGCAUCAGGCUUGCGCCCAUUGUGCAAUAUUCCCCACUGCUGCCUCCCGUAGGAGUCUGGGCCGUGUCUCAGUCCCAGUGUGGCCGGUCGCCCCCUCAGGCCGGCUACCCGUCGUCGCCUUGGUAGGCCAUCACCCCACCAACAAGCUGAUAGGCCGCGGGCUCAUCCUGCACCGCCGGAGCUUUCCACCACCAGACCAUGCGGCCGGUGGUCAUAUCCGGUAUUAGACCCCGUUUCCAGGGCUUGUCCCAGAGUGCAGGGCAGAUUGCCCACGUGUUACUCACCCGUUCGCCACUAAUCCCCGGCCGAAACCGGUUCAUCGUUCGACUUGCAUGUGUUAAGCACGCCGCCAGCGUGUCCUGAGCCACGGAUCAACUAC
rnacentral:rRNA from 1 species